ensembl:lncRNA
GCCGGGGGUGGAGCCUGCGACUCGGGAUCAAAGGACUCAGACUGGAAUUGCAGGGCUGCUGUUUCCUGUGUGACUCUGAGCCUACAUCCUCCACAGAGAGAUGGGGAUAAGUAGUGAAACCUGCGCAGGCUUGGGGGAAGGUUAACCAGAUGCACAGUCUGCUCAGCACAAGAUUUAGCACGAAGGUUGCUCAAAUGUUUGCUUCCUUGGAUGGACUAGCCCUGGCUGGACGAAGGGAUAACGUGCGAUGAUUGCUGGUCAUCAUCGGAAACCGUCUCAUCUGCAUAUGGACUAUUUGAGAGCCCUCAGAAGCAAGAGCUCACCUGUCUCGUCCAUACCAAAUCCUCAGCAUCUGCACUCCCGAGAAAGUGAAAGUGAAGUCGCUCAGUCGUGUCGGACUCUUUGCGACCCCAUGGACACCAGGCUCCUCCUUCCAUGGGAUUUUCUAGGCAAGAGUACUGGAGUGGGUUGCCUUUUCCUUCUCCAGGGAACUUCCCGACCCUGGGAUCGAACCCAGGUCUCAGGCAUAGACAGACACUUUACCGUCUGAGCCACCAGGGAAGUCUCUGCACUCCCGAGAAAUACUUGUUAAAUGAAUGAAUGAUUGAAGUCCUUCAUGGUGUCUUCCUAACUGAAAGGAGAGCUUCAUCCUGGGUGAUCCAUGGCAGUUUAUUUACUGCUGUAUGCAGGGCUUUUCCUGGUUGUGGUGGGUCCAUGCAUUGGUGGUCUCCACUGACUUUCAGCCCUCUUCCUCGCAUGUAAAUUCCCGGAUUGGACACAUAACUAACAUGCUUUGGCCAAUGGGAUGGUAGCAGGUGUGCUGGGCACAGAGCCUUGAUAAAUAUUUGAAUGCUGGGGUCUGUCCUCUUGGGACAUUGUCUCUUGAAGUCCUGAGUUACUCUGUAAAGAGGUCUAGCUGCUGUGCUGACAUGGGGCACAAGUGUUCCAGUCAUCCCCUCGUUCCAGCCACCUCAGCUGAAGCCCCAGAAGUCUGAGUGAAGAUGCUCUUUGGAACCUUCCACCCCAGGAGACACCUGGCAGGGUGGAAGAACCACCCAGCUGAGCCCAGCCCAGAGCGCAGAGCCAGGGGAAGUAUGCAGUCACGUUUUAAACAAGCUUGACAUGCUGACUUCAGCAAGAAGUAGCUGAAAUACCAGUUUACUUUCCAUUUUGAAUGGCUGUGCGAGUCCACAACUCAGAAACCGAGGUGGCAAAGGCUGCAACACGGUUAGCUUUGCUUUUGCACUUUGCCCCGCAUCCCACACAAGUCAGUCAAUAGUUCGUUGAGCAGUUUAUUGAACUCUCCAUGCUAAUCUCUGUGCUACUUAAGUGUGUGAUGCAGAGGGUGCUGGUCGUUUUCUCCACAAUCUUUAAGGUCAUGCCAGAGGUGUCAGUGGGUCCAUGCCACGCCUUGUUCCCGACCACACAGCUUGUGCAAGGCUGUGGCAGCUGGGCCUGCAGGGGUGAGCCUCCUGCAGACACUGCAGCCAGGUUACCGCCCUCUCCCUAGGCCUUCCCUCCUGGACCGUUCCCCCCACCACCCCCGCCCAUACCAGCUACUCUCCUAGAGAGAGAGAGAGAGAGAGAACAGGGUAGGUCUGCCUAACCUUGACCUUCAUUCAUGUCUUAAAAGAGGAGACAAACCCUACUCUAUACUGCCUUAAAACCUACAUUUAAGUAGAAAGCCUUAUUUUUUCCCCUUAUUUUUCCCUCUUGGACGGAAUUAAGUAAAUCCAAAGUGACAACACAGUUUAUCUCAGAUUAGAAGUUAUGAUUGGUGGUUUGAAAGCAAAAAAAAAGUCAAUUUUAUAGUUAAAUACAUUAAAAUUUUUUAAGGAAGGAAGGAACGGGAAAUCUUUUUAUUAAAAAAGUCAAAUGCACAGACUAAAAAGACCUAAUAAUUACUAAGUUGCCAUAUUCACUUUACAUGUGAAUGUGUGUGUGUGUGUGUG